CCUACGGGAUGCAGCAGUGGGGAAUAUUGCACAAUGGGGGGAACCCUGAUGCAGCGACGCCGCGUGAGCGAGGAAGUAUUUCGGUAUGUAAAGCUCUAUCAGCAGGGACGAAAAAAGACGGUACCUGACUAAGAAGCCCCGGCGAAAUACGUUCCAGCAGCCGCGGUAAUACGUCGGGGGCAAGCGUUAUCCGGGUUUACUGGGGGGAAAGGGAGCGGAGACGGGAAGGCAAGGCAGAAGUGAACGGGCAGGGCUCAAACCUGUACAUGCUUGUGAAAAUGUGGUGCUAGAGUGCAGGAGAGGUAAGUGGAAUUCAUAGUGUAGCGGUGAAAUGCGUAGAUAUUAGGAGGAACACCAGUGGCGAAGGCGGCUUACUGGACUGUAACUGACGUUGAGGCUCGAAAGCGUGGGGAGCAAACAGGAUUAGAUACCCGUGUAGUC
rnacentral:rRNA from 1 species